ensembl:lncRNA
GCAAACAUCACUGAAAGCUCUGGGCCGGCUCAUGGUGGUCCUGCUCGAGACAGAGACCACCAGUGGCUUCUUUCAGAACAUAGUCCAUAGAUCAAUGACGUCAGGCAACACGUGGGAGCGCAAGAGGGCCCUGCAGACCUGCUCCCAGCUGCUGGCUGUUUGUGAAGAGCGUGGAAGAGGAGAUGCCUGCAAGCACUUUGGCUCCUUGGUGGGAUUGCUGGUGCCUCUGACGUGUGACCCCAUGCCCACCUCCCGCCAGUUGGCUGUCACCUGUCUGAGCUCCCUUCUCCGAAUCCAAGCCAAGGCGACCAACAGAGUCAUCCAGACAGGAGACAUCGGGAGCCUGUGUGAGGGGCUGAAUGACCGCAGCACCGUCUGUCAGCUCCAGACCUCG